rnacentral:misc_RNA from 1 species
CAGAGCUUCGAAGCCUAAGGGAAAGCAGCCGAAAGGUGAACUACCCUUAGGAUUGAGAUCUCCACCCUUUGUUUACAUUACCUUUGUUGCUUUAGCAGGCCCGCUCUUGGGCCGCCGGCUUUUUGCUGGUCAGCGCCUGCUAGAGGACCUAAAACUCUUGUUAAUAAUAUUGUCUGAGUACUAUAUAAUAGUUA